ACAAAAGUUUAUUCUCUCGUGUAAAAGAUCAUACACCAACUAUGUACACAACCAAUACGAUCUAUAAACUACCGUGUUUAGGCUGCGACGGUUGCUAUAUUGGACAAACAAGCCAAUGGCUGAAACAACGUAUUACUCAACACAAAAGUGACUGCCAGAAAUAUAAAAAUACAUGCGCUGUAGUCGAUCACUGCAUCAACACAGGUCAUCAGUUUGACUAUACCAAUGUUGAAAUACUACAAACAGUACAACACUAUAAAAACAGGCUAUUUCUCGAAAUGUGUUACAUCACAAAAACAAAAAAUGUAAUUAAUUAUAAGGCUGACACCAACCAACUCAGCAAUAUAUACUGCAAUAUUCUGCAAUCUAUUUAAUUAGAUUAUUGAUACAACAUUUACCAAUUAUACUUAUUUUAUCUAUACACAUAAACUAGUCAUUAGUGUACAUUUUUUAUCAUUUUAUCUAUAUUUAAUUUGUUUCAUUUCAAAAAUGUUAGUCUAAUUGUAAGAGUGUGUGACCAAUGUUUGUUUUGUUCAUUUGUCAACAAUUCCACAUUUGCACUUCUGAUGAAGUCAACAAUCAGUUGACGAAAUAUUAAGUGACAAAAAAAUAGAAUUGUUUUAAUUCCUGACCGACAGAACCCGAAAAA
rnacentral:lncRNA from 1 species